AGUGAACGCUGGCGGUAGGCCUAACACAUGCAAGUCGAACGGCAGCACAGUAAGAGCUUGCUCUUACGGGUGGCGAGUGGCGGACGGGUGAGGAAUACAUCGGAAUCUACUUUUUCGUGGGGGAUAACGUAGGGAAACUUACGCUAAUACCGCAUACGACCUACGGGUGAAAGCAGGGGAUCUUCGGACCUUGCGCGAUUGAAUGAGCCGAUGUCGGAUUAGCUAGUUGGCGGGGUAAAGGCCCACCAAGGCGACGAUCCGUAGCUGGUCUGAGAGGAUGAUCAGCCACACUGGAACUGAGACACGGUCCAGACUCCUACGGGAGGCAGCAGUGGGGAAUAUUGGACAAAGGGCGCAAGCCUGAUCCAGCCAUACCGCGUGGGUGAAGAAGGCCUUCGGGUUGUAAAACCCUUUUGUUGGGGAAGAAAAUCAGCAGGUUAAAACCCCGCUGUUCUGACGGUACCCAAAGAAUAAGCAACGGCUAACUUCGUG
rnacentral:rRNA from 1 species